AAUUGAAUUGUAUUAGGAGAAGGAGAGAGAGCCCAUCUGUAUCUCUUUCAGCUUCCUCAAAACCAGAGAGAGAGAGAGAGAGCGAGAGAGGUAGAAAUCAUAGAAUCCGUGAGGCUAUGGAAGACAGGGAAACCAGAGAUUUUAGGCCAAGAAAGAGAGACCGUGGAGGAGAAUCGAGUCUGCCUCCAAUGGAUAUCUACUGCUCACGCUACGUCUCCAAACUUCUCAGCUUCACCGUCAAAAGAAAGCUAAAAAGACUUGGUGAAGUUACUUCUGUAAUUUGCUCCCCUGAUCAUGAAUCUGUUGAGAAGCUGAGGGCUCUCAAACAAUUGGCUUCUUUGAUUGUAGAAGACACAAGACUUGGUGAUUAUCUGGACUCGAAGGUGCUCCCGGAACUUAUUAGCUUCCUCGAGUUUAAAGAACAGAAAACCCCCCUCCAGGCCGAUGGUCGGGUUAGGAAAAAACCCGUCUUGGAAGAUUUAGUUAACAGGAGAUUCCAGUACUAUUCUGCAAUCGUUCUCACGAAUAUUGUAUCGUCCAAGAAAGGCUUUAAGUUCAAAGAUAAAGCAAUCCCGGCUCUUGUGAAACUUAUAACUACUUGGCAUUGGUUCGUGCAGAUUCAGGUUCUGUGUGCAUUGUCCAAUAUAGCCAAUGUAUUUCCUGAAACCUGUGAUGCCAUCAUUAAACAUGGGGCAUUUGAAAUCUUGGAGUCUAUUAUUACAAAUGGGAGGAACCACUAUGCUCUGCGAAAAAGUGCCUGCGAGCUUUUGUCAGCCCUUUGUAAACUGUAUGUACCCUUUGAGAAGAGAAAGAUAGUGUUACAUACCCUCAAGACAGCAAUAUUCUCCGAAAGUGAGUCUGUACUAGUACCAACAUGCCUUGCGCUUUCUAAUUUCUCCAACAAAAGAUUUGUGGAUGUUGGUGCUGAAGUAUACAAACGUAUUCUUCAUCUGAUUGAGUAUACAAUACCGGAGGUAGCCCUUUCUGCCCUCAGAGUAAUUGGAAAUCAUGUGAGAUGGUGUGAUAAUGACCGGCUUCAGUCUAUAAUUAUUGGAGGUUUACCACUUCACCUUAUGGGCUUGUUACACCAUAAAUAUACGGAAGUAAAGAAGGAGACUUGCUGGAUAAUUUCAAACAUUAUUGCAGCUGCAAACAAUUCGCAGUUACAAGUGGUGCUUAACUGUCAGUUGAUAAUACUUCUCGUCGGAUUUGUUCAAAAAAACAAGGUGGAAUUGAUGGAAGUUGCAUCCCGUGCAAUUUCAAAUGCUGUACUUAUUAGUGACAAAAAUCAGUUCGAAUAUCUUAGAGAGAAAUGCUUUGAGCCUUCGAAUACCACACGAUAUUUUUCCAAUGAUGCAAGGACGAUUGCUGCCUGUUUACAAAUACGUGACAAUAUCUUAUAUCGUGCCAAGGUUUUGGGAUGUGCUUCUCUAUCUCAAGAAAUGGAAAGAUUGAGCAUCGGAGCGCAUGACUAGUGACACUUCUGAUAAACUUGCGAGUUCUAGAGCUGAAUAUGCUCAACAUUCUAAAAGGAUUGGUAAGAAAAAGAAGACCAAAAAAAGGAGAACCGGGAACGGAGAGCUCCCCUUUUCCGAUGACUCUUUGGUCUCAAGAACGCAAAUCAUAUUUUCUAUUUCACAUAUUCAAAAUUUAUUAUAUUAAUUUUGUUUAUUUGAUAAACAAUGAUAAAAUAACUACUAAUCAUGUUAGUUUCCAAAAUAAAAAUUAUAUUAUUAUUAUAUCUUUAAUUAAUAUAAUUGAAGAAAAGAUGACACAAAAUGAGGAUAUGAAAUACCCUCUCCGUUUAUAAAAUAUUCAAAUAAUAAUUAUUUUAACAUAUUUUUAUAUGCCCAAAGAGAUAUUUGUGUAUAUAAUUAUUUCCUUUGGUCUCUGAAAAAAAUAUGAGGACUAAUUUUUAUUCAGAAAAACAUAUAAAAUGAUGAUUAAUAUACAUAAAUAUGUUUUUUAAACCUUUAAAAACAUAUGAUAUUAGUUAAUGAUUAAUUAAGUACAUGAAUCGAUCUGUUAAUAUUUUAUAUUUAUUAUUGAGUAAAUAUCAUAUAAAUCAUAUAAAACUCGUACUAACUACUAGUUUUUUUUUUAUAAAAAAAAAGUUGUACAAGUUUUUAAGCAAAUUUGUCUUUUCAAAUUCAAUUUUAAAAAAUAUAUUUUUUAUACGUUUUUACAUAUAAAUAUUAACCAAGUGUGUAUAUUCGGUACUAUUUUAUAAAAAAAAUACAUUUUUCAAUAAUAUAAUAUAAUUUAUUUUUUAAAAUAACUCCUUUAGUGUGAAAAAUAAACUUAUUCAAAUACAUAUUUAUCUCCUAAACACAAUGAAAGGCAAUUACUUUGUCACUGAAAAUUGAAAUGUCCAAGUUACGUAACAUUUUAAGUUGUUUUGAUCAUGUAGCUAGAUAUGUUAUUUUUAAGUAUCUUUUUAAAUAAAAAUAUUGAUAUAAUAUUUUAUUCAGGAAAAAAAAUUCAAAAAUAAUAUUUUUAAGUAUAUAGUCAAAACACUUUAACCUGCAUAAAAGAAAAUUUUGAAAUUCACCGGAGAACCUAAAAUAUGAAAGAGAACAACGGAGGGAGUACAUCAAGAUUAGUGAUCUGAUUGUAUUCGAUUCGAUGGCCGUCAAUUCAUCUAGAAGGUGGAGGCCCGUAAUUAGCGUGACACAGGGCUGCUGUGUCUCUAUCUCCAAUGUCACAUAGAAUUCCAUGCAAAGCCUAGUUACUCCAAAACAUGCACAGUGCUUUUCAACUCCAUGUCGUUUUCAAUAUUCACUCAUGUAUAGAGGAUUUAUUUUUUAUUUUUUUUGAUUUCUCAUUCUAUCUAUCUAUCUGUGGACAAAAUGGCCAUCCUAGACUUGAACUCGAUAGUUUCAAUAAAAAUCAAUUAGUUUUCUUUUGUAAA